UACGUAGGGGGCAAGCGUUGUCCGGAAUCAUUGGGCGUAAAGAGCGUGUAGGCGGCCCGGUAAGUCCGCUGUGAAAGUCCAGGGCUCAACCCUGGAAAGCCGGUGGAUACUGUCGGGCUCGAGUUCGGAAGAGGUGAGUGGAAUUCCUGGUGUAGCGGUGAAAUGCGCAGAUAUCAGGAGGAACACCAAUGGCGAAGGCAGCUCACUG
rnacentral:rRNA from 1 species